UUCCCUCUCACAAAAUUUCCCCAAAAUUUUUUCCCUUUUAAUCUUUCACUUAGGGAUUUCAUGAGCUCUCUCAUUCUCAUUCUCACUCUCUCUCACGGUAAUCUCUCUUUCUACCCUCACUCCUCUUCUCUCUUUUUCCCCUCCAUCAGACUCAUCUACCACUGCCACCCAUUGCACAGCCACUCACUGCACAACCACCCUCUGCCACCAAUGCUAGCUACCGCCGCCGUUGUCAUUGACCUCCAAUCUCGCCAUUAGAUGCGGUUUUUGCUCUCCCUCGUUGCUGCUUCUUCUGCUCUUGUUGUAAUUAUUUUGUCUUUCUUAUUUUUGUGGAUUUAUCAUAGGAAGUUCUCACACAAAUCCCACAAAAGAAGUGCUCAGAGCUCAGUUAUUGAGAAGGGACUUGCCUUAGUUCCAUUUUUUAGUAAAUUCAGCCCCAUUAAAAUGGUUGGUAAGAAAGGAUUUGUUCCAUUGAUUUAGUAUAAGCUACUAGAAAAAGCAACAAUUUUAUAAUUUUAGAUUUGAAUUUUUAUGUUAGAUAUAAAAAGAAUUAAUAAUAAUAAUAAUAAUGAAAACUUUAAGGGUUGGUUUAGUAGGCACAUAUGGAUUGUGUGGUGGGAGGCCUUCGAUUAGGUUGGAAGAGAAGUGGUGGUUGCUGUAGGGAAUUAACCCGAAAUUCCCAACCUGUGAGAAACAAAAAAUAGAGAAAAAAAACAAUCACACACACAAUUCAAUAUUUACGUGGUUCGGCAAUUUGCUUACGUUCAUGAAGUUGUAGAGAUUUCACUAUUAUCAGGGAAAAAUACAAAAAGUUGCGGUAGUAUAGUUUUCUCACUCUCAAGCAUGACAGCAAAACAAACCCUAAUCACCAAAACUACGUUUUCUACAUCCUACGCACAAGAUUCACAAUGGGCUACAAAACGGGCCAAAAUUUUUUCCUGAGGGCGUUGCCCUCGAACCCUUAGAAGGUUUGUCCAUAGGCCUGUCGGCCCAAGCCUCUGCUCCAUGGACUAAACCUCAAAAAAUUUCCCAUUAAAAAACCACGCAAAAUUAUUCGGGUCAAGUUGGGUCGUCAACAGGAUCAAACAUAAUUAGGCUCCACAAAGCCCAACAGUUGCCCUGUCCCAAAGUACCACAGGAUGGGUUGUCAGAGGAUAACAAGAAGAGGUUGCAUCAGUGUAGGGACUGUGCAAAUCAGAUAUUGAAGGCGGCUUUGGAAAUUAAUGGUAGUGUGCUAGCUGAGAUGGAGAUCCCCAGUGCUUACUUGGAUACCUUGCCCAAGAUUGAUGUUGGAAGGCCUAUUGAAGAGGUUUUUGAGUUGGUUAAAGCAGUAUUUACCCCUAAAGAUGAGAAGGUAUUGAAGAAGCACAGUUGGAAGGAAAAAAAGGAAUGACUUCAAAUGAAAAAAAUGGUAGCUCCAAUCCACUAUCACACCCAUUGGCAGCCAUCAAUCUCCAAUGAUGGUAGAUGAAAAUAAUACAACUCCGUUGGAUAAGACAGAAGAUGCCCAUGCCCAACCUAACAAUGAGAUAACUGAGGAACAAGGGAGGUUUAAAUCAGUUGUGUGGAAUUAUUUUAAGAAAAGGAAAGUUAAUGGGAAAGACAAGGCUGAGUGCAACUAUUGUACAAGAUUGCUUGUAGGGGGGGGGUCUAGAAAUGGCACUACACAUUUGCAUGACCAGUUAAAAAUAUGUCCUAGGAAAAAUUUUAAGGACAUUAGCGAUAUGAAACAAAAAAUUUUGGUGAGGGAUCAAGAUAACGUGGACUCAACAGCUAGUGUGAAUGCUUAUCAUUUUGAUCAAGAUGAAUCAAGAAAAGAACUCCCUCGUAUGAUCAUCUUGCAUGAGUAUCCUCUUUUUAUAGUCGAUCACAUUGGCUUUAGAAGAUAUUCAACUUCUCUACAACCAUUGUUCAAGAUGGUUUGUAGGAACACAAUCAAGAAGGACAUUAUGAGAAUCUAUGAUCAUGAAAGGGAGAAAUCAGCGUAUGAAAUAGAAAAGAAUCAGAGUAGAAUUGUUAUUACCACUGAUAUGUGGACUUCACAAAACAAAAAGCGAGGGUUUAUGGUUGUAACAACACACUUCAUUGAUGAUUUUUGAAGAUUACAAAGCCAAGUUAUGAGGUUUAUUUAUGUGCCAUCUCCACAUACAAAGGAAGUGUUUUCUGAUGUCCUUCUACAAACCUUGUUGGAAUGGAACAUUGAUAGGAUGUUAUUUACUGUGACAGUGGACAAUUGCAGUACCAAUGAUGUAGUUAUAAAUAUUAUACUAGACAAGUUUCAACAUAAUACACUGGUUAUGCAUGGAUCAAUGUUGCAUAUGCGUUGUGCAACACAUGUUCUUAAUUUGAUUGUUCCGAAUGAUUUGAAUUUUAUUGGAUCAUGCAUUGAGAAGGUUUGUGAGAGUGUGGGAUUUUGGACUGGAUCAACAAAAAGAAGGCAAUGGUUUACUGAUACGACUCGACAAUUACAUGUUGAAUGUACCAAAGAACUAGCCUUUGAUUGUAAGACUCAUUGGAACUCUACCUAUCUUAUGCUUUUUAUUGCUAUAGAGUAUCGAGAUGUCUUUUUUUGAUUGAGCCAAUGGGAGUCAUCUUAUAAGUGCAUUCCAAAAGAGGAAGAAUGGGAGAUGGCAAGUAGUAUAUGUGAGAGACUAGCAUUGUUUUACAAGGUUACAGAGCUAUUCUUAAGUACCUUAUAUCCUAUAGCUAAUCUUUUUUUUCCUAAGGUGUGUGAAAUAAAAGUAACUUUGAAUUCUUGGUUCACAAGCCCAAGUGAUAUGAUUAGGAGUAUGGCAUUUAAAAUGUUAGAAAAAUUUGACUGUUAUUGGAAUGUGAUUCAUGGUGUUAUGGUUGUGGCAACCAUUUUAGACUCAAGAUAUAAGAUUGAAUUGUUGGAAUAUUAUUUUCCUCUUAUUUAUGGUGACGAAGCUGAAAAUGAAAUUCAGAGGGUUAGAGAUACUUGUUAUGAAAUGAUUCAUGACUAUACUUUAAGGAGAAUGGGUAGGGAAGGUACUUGUGGCACUUGUGUAGGUGAGGAUCCACAAGUUGAUGACUCCCUUAUGGACUUUGAAAGAUAUUUUAGUAAAAAAAAGGGUGGGAAUAUUAAAUUGGAGUUAGAGCGUUACCUUGAGGAUGAUCUAAUGUCAAGAACUUUAGAUUUUGAUAUUUUGGCAUGGUGGAAAUCUAAAGGGCCUAAGUGUCCUACUUUGCAACGUAUUGCAUGAGAUAUCCUAGCCAUUUCAGUGUCAACUGUUGCUUCGGAGUCAGCAUUUAGCACAAGUGGUAGGUUGCUAAGUCCACAUCACAGUAAACUUCAUGUAAAUACCAUGGAGACAUUGAUGUGUGCUCAGAAUUGGUUAUGGGCUGUAAUUAAAGGCCCUUCAUCUGUUGUAGAUGGGAUUGAAGCUAAUACAUUCCAAAACAUCCUUGAUGAUUCUGAUGAUGAAGAAGAAAGUGGUGUCACUACAUUAGGAGAAAGCGAAAAUUAUUCUUAAGAACUAGUCAAUUUUUAUUUGUUAUAAGACAAUGUUUAUUUGGAGUUUGAAUUAUGUUAUGUAUUAGACUAUUUAAGUACUUGGUUUAUUUAAAUGCUUGGAUUUUAAAACAUUUUGUUUUGUUGUGA